CUAUCUAGGUCUGGCAAUUGGAAUGAGAACAAUUUAAAUCCCUUAUCGAGGAUCAAUUGGAGGGCAAGUCUGGUGCCAGCAGCCGCGGUAAUUCCAGCUCCAAUAGCGUAUAUUUUAGUUGUUGCAGUUAAAAAGCUCGUAGUCGAAUUUCUGGUGGGAGAAUGCGGUCUGACCUCGUGGUUGGUACUUGCACUCUCCGGCCAUCCUUGGGUGGAGCCAGUCUGACAUUAAGUUGUCGGGUUGGGGAUGCCCAUCGUUUACUGUGAAAAAAUUAGAGUGUUCAAAGCAGACUUAUGUCGUUGAAUACAUUAGCAUGGAAUAAUGAGAUAGGACAAUAGUACUAUUUUGUUGGUUUGCGUACCAUUGUAAUGAUGAAUAGGGACAGUUGUGGCUAUUCGUAUUCACUUGUAAGAGGUGAAAUUCUUAGAUUAAGGGAAGACGAACUACUGCGAAAGCAUUUAGCAAGGAUGUUUUCAUUGAUCAAGAACGAAAGUGUGGGGAUCGAAGAUGAUUAGAUACCGUCGUAGUCUACACCAUAAACUAUGCCGACUCAGGAUGGGCAGGUGUCAUUUUGACCCUGUCUGCACUGUAUGUGAAAACAAAGUCUUUG
rnacentral:rRNA from 1 species